rnacentral:lncRNA from 1 species
AACACUCAAAUAAUAUGCCCAAGGUGCAAUAACAAGUGCAAUACAAUUGGAAAAAAUAUAAGAACAAUAAAACAAGCAAUAUGAGAAAUCUUCAAAGCACAACACAAACGAAAAUAGAGAGGGACACGUACAUAUACAUGGUUCACCCAAAAUGGGCUACGUCCACCGGCAAGACGACAAAGGUAUAUUCACUAUCAAGAGGAAAAAAUUACAAGAUUGUGAUUAUGCAGAGUUACCUCAUACAAUCUCAAGGAAUGCUCAAACAAAGAACUUCCUACCACAAAACCACUGACAGUCGACUCUUUUUUCGAUUCACUGCAGCCAUAACGAAAUACCGACAAAAUGGCUCAAGAUAAGCUCCAAAUGGUGGUGCUAGGGUUUUGUUGCAAAACCCCUAAUUUCCCACACCCAAUCUUCUCUAGCUUCUUUUUCUCUACAAAAGAGUUCAUCUCCAUGUUUCUCUCUCUAGAAAAACCUUUUAAGAGUCUCCACUAUAAAGGCUUCCUUUUAGUGACAAAAGUACCCCUCACCAUAGUGAAAAACUUUAAUGAGCCUGUACUAAAAAGACUUCUUUUUAGUGACAAAAAUACCCCUCACCAUAGUGAGAAAUACCACAUGGGGUGGUGGUUUGGCAUCACCUCCCAACAAUAUCCACUUUGAUGCAAAAUCAAAUCUUGCCAAUCCAUCACUUCCUUUCUUUUUUGAAACUUAGAGAAGUUAAACUUCAUUCUAAUUUAUCUAUUUGGAUGGUCUUUGUAAGUAUAUCUGCAAGGUUGUCUUCGGUAUUGAUCUUGACCAAUCAAACUCUUCCAUCUUCAACAACUUGACGAAUAUUAGGAGAUAAAAAGGAGAACUUCCUGAUAAUGCUUUAGUUUUGGAAUUUUUGGUCCCAACAUGCAGAAAGGACGGUCACCAACACUAAUAACAAUAGAAAAAGUAUAUAGAGAGACCAUUUACUGCUUUUGUCGGAUUUCAAAUUGAGCGGUUGUGUGUGUAAUGGACUAAACCUAAAGUUCAAAAAAAAAAAUUUAUACUUUGUGAUACACCUCAAGUCAUCCAAUUUGACGUCUAAUAGCUAGUAGGAAUUGUGACAUCUUGUAACAAAAAUAAAUUGUUGCAUAGUAUACAUCUUAAAACAACUUUGUUUUAAUUCAUGCUCGUAUUGUUCAACGGUAUUAUUUACCUACUCGGGGUAACUAUGAGCAAAAUAUAGGAAUUUGGAAAUAAGCCUCAUGAGAUCUCCUUUGUCACAUGCAUAAAGAUGGUCUGAAAAUCCUUCUCAUAAUUCCUUACGGCCCUAGGAUGCCCAGUCCUAGUAAACUUGUAAUAGAGUUCGAAUCAUCUUUUCAUACUUCAAUGAAUGCUCGAAUUAGUUAAAAUCAAUGUAGAGAGGAUAUCCCAAUAUGUGGUCAACAAACACAUUCCCCAAGCCCCCUUUGCCUAGAAUGGAACUUACAAAGUUUUAUGGGAAAGUUCAACAAAGUAUGUACCCUAAAAAGCUUAUGCCCAUAGCCUUUAAUAUGUCCAAUCAAGUGAUCCACAGUGAUGAGAGAUUAGAAGAUCCUCCAUGAUUGGACAAAACCCUAGUAGGACUAGUAGGACUAUAUCAGUAUAUCUCUAUCCUAGCCUCAGGGUAUGUUUUCAGUCACAAUGAAAAAAAUUAUAUAAGGUUGCAACUUUAUAUAUAGAACUACGGAUGCACCUCAAAAAAUCUAUCGAAAAAGGUAGUUUUAAUGUUGAAAAGCCCUUUAAUUGAUCAUCUCGACAUCGAGAUGUAUGACCAUAAAAAAUAAAAAGAUUUUA